rnacentral:rRNA from 1 species
AGUAAAUUCUAUGGUCAAGCUACUAAGGGCGCACGGUGGAUGCCUUGGCAGAUACAGGCGAUGAAGGACGUGGCAAGCUGCGAUAAGCUUCGGGAAGCCGCACACAGGCGUUGAUCCGGAGAUUUCCGAAUGGGGAAACCCACAUACGCAAACCGUAUGUAUGUCUCACUGAAUCCAUAGGUGAGAACAGGCGAACGGAGGGAAGUGAACCAUCUCAGUACCUCCAGGAGUAGAAAGAAACCUCGAUUCCGAAAGUAGUGGCGAGCGAAAUCGGAACAGCCCAAACCCGUUGCAUUAAGGUGCGUCGGGGGUUGUAGGGCCUGCAAUAGUAGAGUUACCAAUCUGGUCGAUAGUCGAAGCCUCUGGAAAGUGGCUCCAUAGUGGGUGACAGACCCGUAGACGAAAUUGAUCCAGACUCGAAGCAGGUACCUGAGUAAGGCGGGGCACGAGAAACCCUGCUUGAAUCCACGGGGACCAUCCCGUAAGGCUAAAUACUAGUAUCUGACCGAUAGUGAACCAGUACCGUGAGGGAAAGGCGAAAAGCACCCCAUUGAGGGGAGUGAAAAGUACCUGAAACCGUGUGCCUACAAGCAGUGGGAGGACUAUGCCCGUAAGGGAAUGUCUGACCGCGUGCCUAUUGCAUAAUGAGCCGGCUAGUUAUUCUUGUCAGCAAGGUUAAGCGUGAGCGAGCCGCAGCGAAAGCGAGUCUGAAUAGGGCGUUAAGUUGGCAGGAAUAGACGCGAAGCGGGAUGAUCUACCCUUGGCCAGGUUGAAGGUGGGGUAACACCUACUGGAGGACCGAACCGGUGUUUGUUGAAAAAAGCUCGGAUGAGCUGAGGGUAGGGGUGAAAGGCUAAUCAAAUUCCGUGAUAGCUCGUUCUCUCCGAAAUAGCUUUAGGGCUAGCCUCGGGUGAUUUGGAUUGGUGGUAGAGACAUGAUUGGACUAGGGGGCUUUCCGGCUUACUGAAUCCAGCCAAACUUCGAAUGCCAAUUACAACCAGCCCGGGAGUCAGACUGUGGGGGCUAAGCUUCACAGUCGAGAGGAAAACAGUCCAGACCGCCUGCUAAGGUCCCCAAAUUACAGUUAAGUGGGAAAGGAAGUCGGAACGCUCAGACAGCCAGGAGGUUGGCUUAGAAGCAGCCAUCCUUUAAAGAAAGCGUAAUAGCUCACUGGUCAAGCGGUCCGGUGCCGACAAUACAACGGGGCUAAAACUGUAUACCGAAGCAGCGGAUGCACAUCUUUGAUGUGCGUGGUAGGAGAGCAUUCUCACAGCGAUGAAGUCAGACUGAGAAGACUGAUGGAGCGUUGAGAAGAGACCCUGCCGGCAUAAGUAGCGAUAAGGGAGGUGAGAACCCUCCCCGCCGAAAGUCUAAGGUUUCCUGAGGAAGGUUAAUCCGCUCAGGGUUAGGCGGUCCCUAAGCCGAGGCCGAGAGGCGUAGGCGAUGGACAUCCGGUUAAUAUUCCGGACCUCCCAGUUUUUCGUUAUUACGAUGGGGUGACGCAGAAGGAUAAGCAGGACCUCCUAUGGCUAUGGGGUUCGAUGCGCGUAAGCUGGUUUCUCUAGGCAAAUCCGGAGAAGCUUAACAGUGAGGCGCAAAGCAGUAAGCCGAAUGGCUGAAAGCUGCUGAGUUCACGCUGCCAAGAAAAACCUCUAAGGAGAGAGAUUGGGAACCGUACCACAAACCGACACAGGUAGACGAGGAGAAUAUCCAAAGGCGCUCGAGUGAAAGCUUGUUAAGGAACUCGGCAAAUUAGACCCGUAACUUCGGGAGAAGGGUCGCCACGGGGGUGAAUAGCCCUUCGUGGCCGCAGCGAAAUGCGAACGGCGACUGUUUAACAAAAACACAGGUCUCUGCAAAGUCUAAAACGACGUAUAGGGGCUGACUCCUGCCCGGUGCCGGAAGGUUAAAGGGAGAGGUUAGGGCGCAAGCUCGAAGCUUCGAACUGAAGCCCCGGUGAACGGCGGCCGUAACUAUAACGGUCCUAAGGUAGCGAAAUUCCUUGUCGGGUAAGUUCCGACCUGCACGAAUGGAGUAACGAUCGUUCGACUGUCUUAACGAGUUGCUCGGCGAACUUGUAGUACCGGUGAAGAUGCCGGUUACCCGCAGCUAGACGAAAAGACCCCGUGCACCUUUACUAUACUUUUACAGUGGGUUACGGCAAUUGCUGCGCAGGAUAGGUGGGAGGCUUUGAGACCGGACUUUCGGGUUCGGUGGAGCCAACGGUGAGAUACCACCCUGCGAUUGUUGUGAUCCUAACCUCCUCCCGUGAUCCGGGAGAGGGACAUUGUAAGACGGGUAGUUUGACUGGGGCGGUCGCCUCCUAAAUUGUAACGGAGGCGCGCGAAGCUACACUCAGGUCGUUUGGAAAUCGACCGUCGAGUGCAAAGGCAUAAGUGUGGUUAACUGCGAGACCUACAAGUCGAGCAGAUGCGAAAGCAGGCCUUAGUGAUCCGGUGGUUCUGUAUGGAAGGGCCAUCGCUCAACGGAUAAAAGGUACGCCGGGGAUAACAGGCUGAUCAUUGCCAAGAGUUCAUAUCGACGCAAUGGUUUGGCACCUCGAUGUCGGCUCAUCGCAUCCUGGAGCUGUAGAAGGUUCCAAGGGUUAGGCUGUUCGCCUAUUAAAGCGGUACGUGAGCUGGGUUCAGAACGUCGCGAGACAGUUCGGUCUCUAUCUGCUGUGGGCGUAGGAGAUUUGAAGAGGGCUGUCCUUAGUACGAGAGGACCGGGAUGGACGAACCUCUUGUGUUCCAGUUGUCUUGCCAAAGGCACGGCUGGGUAGCGAAGUUCGGUUGUGAUAACCGCUGAAUGCAUAUAAGCGGGAAGCACGCUCUAAGAUGAGAUCUCCCAACCCGUAAGGGAAAUGAAGGGCCCAGGAAGACCACCUGGUUGAUAGGCUGGAGGUUGAAGCGCAGUAAUGUGUGUAGCUUACCAGUACUAAUCGCCCGUUCGGCUUGUCCAUAGAA